rnacentral:tRNA from 1 species
GCCUCGGUAGCUUAGUGGUUGGAGCGAUCGGCUGUUAACCGAUAGGUCGUAGGUUCAAAUCCUACCCGAGGCG